AGCAAGGUGGCUCAGUGGUUAGCACUGUCGCCUCACAGCAAGGUCCUGGGUUCGAAUCCCGGCUGUCCCA